GAUGAACGCUGGCGGCGUGCCUAACACAUGCAAGUCGAGCGAGAAGCUCAUGACAGACGCUUCGGUUGAAGUCACGAGUGGAAAGCGGCGGACGGGUGAGUAACGCGUAGGCAACCUGCCCUUUGCAGAGGGAUAGCCUCGGGAAACCGGGAUUAAAACCUCAUAAUACCGCAGUGAGACAUCUCACAGUGGUCAAAGAUUUAUCGGCAAAGGAUGGGCCUGCGUCUGAUUAGUUAGUUGGUGGGGUAACGGCCUACCAAGGCGACGAUCAGUAGCCGACCUGAGAGGGUGAUCGGCCACAUUGGAACUGAGACACGGUCCAAACUCCUGCGGGAGGCAGCAGUGGGGAAUAUUGCACAAUGGGGGAAACCCUGAUGCAGCAACGCCGCGUGAAGGAUGAAGGCCUUUGGGUCGUAAACUUCUGUUCUAAGGGAAGAUAGUGACGGUACCUUAGGAGCAAGUCCCGGCUA
rnacentral:rRNA from 1 species